rnacentral:rRNA from 1 species
AUUGAACGCUGGCGGCAUGCUUUACACAUGCAAGUCGAACGGUAACAGGUCUUCGGAUGCUGACGAGUGGCGAACGGGUGAGUAAUGUAUCGGAACGUGCCCAGUAGUGGGGGAUAACUACUCGAAAGAGUGGCUAAUACCGCAUGAGAACUGAGGUUGAAAGCGGGGGACCUUCGGGCCUCGCGCUACUGGAGCGGCCGAUAUCAGAUUAGGUAGUUGGUGGGGUAAAGGCCUACCAAGCCGACGAUCUGUAGCUGGUCUGAGAGGACGACCAGCCACACUGGGACUGAGACACGGCCCAGACUCCUACGGGAGGCAGCAGUGGGGAAUUUUGGACAAUGGACGCAAGUCUGAUCCAGCAAUGCCGCGUGCAGGACGAAGGCCUUCGGUUGUAACUGCUUUUAUUACAGGAAGAAACACCUCCACGUGUGGAGGCGUUGACGGUACUGUAGGAAGUAAGGAUCGGCUAACUCCGUGCCACGCAGCCGCGGUAACU